AUUUGGUCAAACAUUAUUCUUGAUGUCUCUGCAAGACUGUUUUGGGGGUGAAAUUAACAGGCAAGUUGGUGAGCUUUGGUGAAGCAAACAACCUUACAUGAUAUGCACUGUGCACUGGAGAGGCAGAGCAUCCUGCCUUCCACAGCCGUGCACACCAGUCCCUGUGCACAAGUGGCCACCCACCCAGCGAAUCGACGUGGUGUGCUUAUCAAAAUCUGUGUGUCUGUGGGCCAGAGCCAAAUCCAGGAUAUUGACGGAUGUCCUUACUGGUAAGGCUGUCUGGGACUCUCAGUGAAAAGACCGGCCAUGUGUGCCUCCAGAUGGUACUAGAUCCAGGUGCUAGAACAAGAUGAGCAAGUGAAUCUCUCAUACUUCAGAUCCUUCAAGGAUCUUGAAAAGAGCGCUGGAAUCAAAGGCGAACGCCACCACUGCCCGGCCUUGUUUUGUUUUUAAAGACAGUUUUCGGCACACAGAGAGGCUGUGAGUUAGGACGGGGGUUUCUUGCCGUUGCCACCAUUCUCAUUGACACGUUAUGCUGCACACAGCAGAGCCCCAUCCUGAAUGCCCAGCGGUGCCCACAGCCAGGAGGAGCAUUCGAUGUGUGAUGACUCAUCUCGUGCAUCAGACGCUCUCUAAAGUUCCCACAGAUUAUACCAUGGCUUAGUGAGUGCGAUUCUAAGACAGUUCCAAAAGACUUUUCAAUCCGUGGGAGUUUCAAAGUGGAUUCUCAGACAAACAUGGGGAGGACUGAGGCAGGCUUGGACACGCACAGAAUCAGACAACGAUGGUCCGGAGUUCAAAUCCCUGCAACCACAUGGUGGCUCACAACCAACUGUAAUGAGAUCUGGCGCCCUCUUCUGGAGUGUCUGAAGACAGAUACAGUGUACUUACAUAUAGUAAAUAAAUAAAUCUUAAAAAAAAAAAAAACUGA
rnacentral:lncRNA from 1 species